UCAUUUGUUUGGGCUUCAAGUGUUGCGCAACCAUCGCAUAAUAAAAACCCUACUCAGCCCCACCCAAAAAACACGACCUACAAAGCUGAGAAACCCUAGUUCCCCUCUCUCUCUCUUUCUCUCUCUCUCUCUCUGUUUAUGUAUAUAAGCACAAUCGAAUGAAUGAAUCUCAAAACUCCAAGCCUUUCGAUGGCAGUCAUCCAUGGCGAUGAGCUCAGCCUCCUUUCGUAUUUUGUAUAUGCGAAUUCAUUAGUGUGUGUUUUGUGUGUCUGGAAGUGAAAAUUUACAAAUUAAUAGCUUUACUUUGAGUUUUGAUUUAAUUUUUCUUUAAUAUCCUGACCAGUGAAUCACAAAACUGAAGCUUAUGCAUAUAGAUAUGUACUUAAAAUCAUGAGUAUCGAUCUGUAUGUAUAUAUAUAUAUGUUGUGGUUUAUAUGGAGCACUGAGGUACGAUGAUGAUUACAUGUGAUUGGUCUCGUUCGUCGUAAUGGCAGCCAUUGCCUUGCCGACCAUCCUGAUAUAUCACCACCCAUAAACUGAGUCCUCAAAAAAGACCUCUCUUUUUUCCUCUAUGUUUAGCUUUUCAAGCUCUAUUUUUUAUUUUGUAUAUAUAUAUAUAUAUAUGUAUUUAUGUGUCUGUUGUGUCUAUAUUUCAUAUGGUUUUUUUUUUAUUUUAGUUUUCUGUUUGUAAAUUGGCCAAUGAUUAAACAAUUUUUAAUAGACAAGCAUAUGUCUGAAACAUAUUGUGUUGACAAACUAAUCUUCUCUAUGAGGCCCACUAGAUGCUACUACAUUUGUUUUUAAUUUUUUUGUUGGUUCUUUAUUUUUUUUAACAGAUCUGUGCAUCUCCUACUCUUGACUCAAACUUGUAUCAAAUAUAAAUUUGCAUAAACUUAAUCAACAACCUCUUCCAUUACUAAAAUUUUUAAAGACAAUUUUGAAGCUUCCAAAAUUUUAACUUUUCCAUCACUGAAAUUUAUGCUUAAAUUUGAGUGUGUCAAUUGGAGUGAGCUUUCACUCAAAUUUGAGUAAAAUCUGAGUAAGGGCUGGACAUAGCCUAAUCAAUAUGUGAUUACUCAUGUUUACAACCAAGCUGCUGUUGAGUGAAAUUUUGUGACCAGUGGAUGGUGUUGAGUCCUAAUAUAUGACUGUUUUAUUACUUUAACCUCUUUUGAAAGAACCAAGAGGUGGUAAACUUUUGAUUUUGAUUUAUGCUUUAUUUUGUUUUUGCCCGGUAGAAAUCAUGUAGUUGUAUUUGUUUGUGUUUGUUUUGUUGAGUGUCUGUUUGUGUCAAACAGGGUCAUAUGAUGAUUUCAUGCAUAGUUCAGAUGAUAAUAUAUGAUUAUACAUUUGAAUGUCUUUCGCUCCUAUCUGAUGACUCUGUUUGAGUUUUCUCAUUUGCUGUAUACUGUAAGUUCUGUCUGUGUUGAUUUUGUAUGUGAUCAUUAAUUUUGUAGAUACCCCAAAAUUUUGAUGCUCUUAUGUGAAGCUGGUGUGCAAUCAUGGUAGUCAAACUCUGUUCAAGAUGUAUUAAGGCUUCUUUGUUUCUUUUACGUGUGAUUUUUUAUCUGGGUUUAAUAAUUGUUUUGAGAACUUGUGCUAGUCUCAUGUGCGUUCAACCUAUUCAGGUAGUUUGUUGGAAUAUGAUUUCUGGACUAAACGGCUCUCUAAAAUAGCUAUGAAAUAGUUUGAUUCAAUAACAUCCCUAUCCAUAUGUUUUAGCAAAUUCUGAGUUUCAUCUCCCAAAAUUAAUUAAUGUCUUUAAUAGCCUCCCUAUGAUUGACAAUUAUGUGUUUGAAAAACUGAAACAUAUGGUGAUGACUCUAACUUGAUACUACUAUGUUUCUUGUUUUUUUUUUUCUUCAUUUUUUCUGUUGGCUUUGUAAUUUUAUUUGAGAUUUGCCAAUGCCAAUGAUGAAAUAAAUAGUAGUGUGCAAUAUAUGAUUAAUCAUGAUUACUAUCAUACUAGAUUGAGUUCAAUUUUAUUUACUCACCUUCUUGUUGUGUAAACAUAAUCCCACCUUUUGAUUGCUUCCUCCAAAGCAGUUAACUCCAUUCCUAACAUUUAACUUGUUUUGGAAGAACCAAGAGGUGGAUAACUUUUACUUGUCAUAAAGGCGAGUGAACAAAAUUGUUCUCAUACUAUCUUUUGAGGCAUUGUUUUGUUUUUAUUUUUAUGGGUUUGGUCAAUGAGUGCCCUAAGGGCAUUGGUUAACAAUGUUUAAAUUGAUUGUACAUUACAUGUUACAUGCACUCCCAUGCAGCAUGUACAAGCAUGUCAAGCUUCUUAUCGAGUGCCCUAAGGACACUUGUUGACAAUACUCUAUUUUUAUUUUGCUUUUCAAAUGUUAGCCUUCUUUUGUGUUGCUGAGUGUUUAAAUUAACCCAACAGGGUCACAUGAUGAUUUCAAGCACAGUUCAAAUGAUAAUUUAUGAUUAUACAUUUGAAUGUCUUUUGCUCCUGUCUGUUGACUUUUGUUUUGAUUUUAUCUGUUUGUUUUUGUUUGUCAAUUUCCUUUAAUUUUGCAGAUACCUGAACUUUGAUGCUGUUAUGCUGGUGUGCAAUCAUGGUGAUCAAACUCUGGUUACGUUUUAUUUAGGAUUCUUAGUUUCUUUAAUUUGACAUCAAAGACUGUUUUUGUUAGCAAGGUUUAAUUAUAGUGUGUCUGGGAAUGUUGUUUAUUAUUUGUGUGACAUCAAAUGCUAUUUUUUUUUUUGUUCUUUUUGUUAAUUGUUUCUUAGAUUUUUUUAAAAACAAUAUACUUCUCAAAUCAACUAGAUUAGAUAAAUUUAAAAAGUAAAAAAAAAAAUGAUAGAAUAUUUUUAAAAAGCUCACUAUAGGCAAACAAAUGAAAAACAAAAUCUCAAAAAUAAAAACAAACAAGUGAGUGACUUUUAUAAUAAAAUCAAAAUGUUCUUUGGUGUGAUCAAAGAAUUCAUGGUAUGAAAAUGAGAACAUGCCCAAUCCCAUCAGUUUUGGAGAUCUUCUAUUGGAUUUUGUUAAUUUAUUUUUGUUUACUAUUCCAAAUAUAUGCAAGGCUUCCAGCCAUUUUUUAUUUGCUUCAUUCUAAAUUUUAGAUGUUAUAAUUUGCUUAUAGGUUAAAUUGAUUUUAUGUCCUGUGUCAGGAUGUUUAAUUUGGGAUCUUGGAGACCUUUGACAAGGAAGCUGGUUAAGGCAGUCGAACGCGGGAAAUGUGUUGCCAAAUGUAGUCUCUGUGAAUGUCCCUCAAAUUUGAUUGCAUGUGAAUCGUUUAACUGAAUCAUUUUAUCUUCAGAAACUGAUUCAUGCAAAUUGGAGCCACUCACUUGGAUGAUUUGAAAGUGAUUUCUACAUCCAGCUGCUGCCAAUACAUGUGUAAUUGGAGCAUAAAUGUUCAAUGUGAAGGUACAUUCUGAGCUAACUUGUAGCUUUGAAGAUGGUUUUGCGUUGUAAUGAGAUUCGUUUCAACAGUUCCAACUGAAACAUGUUUGUGCAAACAUUUUUUUAUGAGUUGCACCGUGACAAUGAAUUGUUCUACUUUAUUUCAGAAAGCAUUUAACGAAAUACUCGUUGUGCCGAA